rnacentral:rRNA from 1 species
GGGUGAUCCUGCCAGAGGCUACCGCUAUUGGAGUUCGAUUAAGCCAUGCGAGUCGCGAGUCUUAGGGACUCGGCGUACCGCUCAGUAACACGUGGGUAACCUGCCCUAUGCUGGGGGAUAACCUCGGGAAACUGAGAAUAAUACCCCAUAGUUCACCACGCCUGGAACGGUUGGUGGAUGAAAGCUCCGGCGGCAUAGGAUGGGCCUGCGGCGUAUCAGGUUGUAGGGGGUGUAAUGUACCCUCUAGCCAUCUACGCGUACGGGUGUUGGGAGACAUCGCCCGGAGAUGGAUUCUGAGACACGAAUCCAGACCCUACGGGGUGCAGCAGGCGCGAAAACUUGGCAAUGCGAGCAAUCGUGACCAGGGAACUCCAAGUGCAUCGGGUAAGACCGAUGCUUUUCUUGACUCUUCAAAGGUCUUGGAAUAAGGGGUGGGUAAGGACGGUGCCAGCCGCCGCGGUAAUACCGGCGCCUCAAGUGGUAGUCGCUUUUAUUGGGCCUAAAACGUCCGUAGCCGGUUUGGUACAUUCGUGGGUAAAUCAAGGCGCUCAACGUCUUGAAUUCUGCGAGCACGGCCAGACUUGGGACCGGGUGAGGUGUGGGGUACUCUCAGGGUAGGGGUAAAAUCCUGUCAUCCUGAGAGGACCACCUGUUGCGAAGGCGCCACACUAGAACGGAUCCGACGGUCAGGGACGAAGCCUAGGGGCACGAACCGGAUUAGAUACCCGGGUAGUCCUAGGUGUAAACGCUGUGGACUUGAUGUUGGGAGUGCUCCGAGCACCCUCAGUGUCGAAGCGAAGGUGAUAAGUCCACUGCCUGGGGAGUACGGUCGCAAGGCUGAAACUUAAAGGAAUUGGCGGGGGAGCACUGCAACCUGAGGAUUGUGCGGUUUAAUUGGAUUCAACGCCGGG